rnacentral:rRNA from 1 species
GACGAACGCUGGCGGCGUGCUUAACACAUGCAAGUCGAACGGAAAGGCCCUGCUUUUGUGGUGUGCUCGAGUGGCGAACGGGUGAGUAACACGUGAGUAACCUGCCCUUGACUUUGGGAUAAGUUCAGGAAACUGGGGCUAAUACCGGAUAGGAGCUCCUGCUGCAUUGUGGGGGUUGGAAAGUUUCGGCGGGUUGGGAUGGACUCGCGGCUUAUCAGCUUGUUGGUGGGGUAGUGGCUUACCAAGGCUUUGACGGGUAGCCGGCCUGAGAGGGUGACCGGCCACAUUGGGACUGAGGUACGGACCAGACUCCUACGGUAGGCAGCAGUGGGGAAUAUUGCACAAUGGGCGGAAGCCUGAUGCAGAAACGCCGCGUGCGGGAUGACGGCCUUCGGGUUGUAAACCGCUUUCGCCUGUGACGAAGCGUGAGUGACGGUAAUGGGUAAAGAAGCACCGGCUAACUACGUG